GUCUAAUUAGCUCAGUUGGUCAGAGCGUGGUGCUAGUAAUGCCAAUAUCACUGUCAACAACCCCAGUAUGGGCCA